UACGGGGGGGGCAAGCGUUGUUCGGAAUUACUGGGCGUAAAGGGCGCGUAGGCGGUUCGCUAAGUUGGAUGUGAAAACUCUGGGCUCAACCCAGAGCCUGCAUCCAAAACUGGCGGGCUAGAGUUCUGGAGGGGGUAGCGGAAUUCCUGGUGUAGCGGUGAAAUGCGUAGAUAUCAGGAGGAACACCGGUGGCGAAGGCGGCUACCUGGACAGAAACUGACGCUGAGGCGCGAAAGCGUGGGGAGCAAGCCGG
rnacentral:rRNA from 1 species